rnacentral:rRNA from 1 species
UNGGAAUUACUGGGCGUAAAGCGAGCGCAGACGGUUUAUUAAGCAAGAUGUGAANUCCCCGAGCUUAACUUGGGAACUGCGUUUUGAACUGNUAAGCUAGAGUAUGUCAGAGGGGGGUAGAAUUCCACGUGUAGCAGUGAAAUGCGUAGAGAUGUGGAGGAAUACCGAUGGCGAAGGCAGCCCCCUGGGAUAAUACUGACGUUCAUGCUCGAAAGCGUGGGUAGCAAACAGGAUUAGAUACCCUGGUAGUCCACGCCCUAAACGAUGUCAAUUAGCUGUUGGGGCACUUGAUGCCUUAGUAGCGAAGCUAACGCGUGAAAUUGACCGCCUGGGGAGUACGGUCGCAAGAUUAAAACUCAAAGGAAUUGACGGGGACCCGCACAAGCGGUGGAUGAUGUGGAUUAAUUCGAUGCAACGCGAAGAACCUUACCUGGUCUUGACAUGUACGGAAUCUUCCAGAGACGGAAGAGUGCCUUCGGGAGCCGUAACACAGGUGCUGCAUGGCUGUCGUCAGCUCGUGUCGUGAGAUGUUGGGUUAAGUCCCGCAACGAGCGCAACCCUUGUCAUUAGUUGCCACCAUUCAGUUGGGCACUCUAAUGAGACUGCCGGUGACAAACCGGAGGAAGGUGGGGAUGACGUCAAGUCCUCAUGGCCCUUAUGACCAGGGCUUCACACGUCAUACAAUGGUCGGUACAGAGGGUAGCCAAGCCGCGAGGUGGAGCCAAUCUCAGAAAACCGAUCGUAGUCCGGAUUGCACUCUGCAACUCGAGUGCAUGAAGUCGGAAUCGCUAGUAAUCGCAGGUCAGCAUACUGCGGUGAAUACGUUCCCGGGUCUUGUACACACCGCCCGUCACACCAUGGGAGUGGGGGAUACCAGAAGUAGGUAGGCUAACCGCAAGGAGGCCGCUUACCAC